AACGUAGGACGCGAGCGUUAUCCGGAGUUACUGGGCGUAAAGCGCGGGCAGGCGGUCUGACAAGUCUGAUGUGAAAUCUCCGGGCUUAACCGGGAGAGGCCAUUGGAAACUGACAGGCUGGAGGGCAGUAGAGGUAGGCGGAAUUCCGGGUGGAGUGGUGAAAUGCGUAGAGAUCCGGAGGAACACCAGAGGCGAAGGCGGCCUACUGGGCUGCACCUGACGCUGAGCCGCGAAAGCCAGGGGAGCGAACGGGG
rnacentral:rRNA from 1 species